AAGCGGUGCUUCUCAGCCUUGGCCACUUCCUGGAGGAUUUUUUUUUUUUAAGUUUAGGGGUCAGUUCCAAGAAGCUCUGAGUUACCUGGUGUGGGACAGAGCCUGGGUUCUUUUGGAAUUUCUCAGAGGCUCUCCUGGGAGGGCUCACAGUGCCUUCCCAGUGUGGUGCACUGUUAACCCCAUCUAGCUUCAGAGAUUAGCCCUAGUCCUCCAGCCAGAGGACAAGGUAACACAGAGUCCCCACAACUGAGGGACCAUGUCUCUCAACAGCUGUCCCAGUAGGGACAUUUACUAGGUCGGGCUUUUCCAGAGAUGAUAGCCAAUAACGGGCUUGGAGGAGAUGAAGAGCCAAAGGGGCUGAGAAGAGCAGGGUGUCUGUCACGUUAAUACGCUCUAACUAGCCUUUGGCUGCAGGAAACAGACACCUGUUGGGAGGGCUUGCUGCCCAUCCCCUACCCCAUCCCCACCCCAUCCCUGCACCCCAUCCCUUGCAGCUGCCUGGAGCCCAGGAAGAGCUGGCUGCCCUUAAGACACAGAGAGGCUUGAGGCAGAGCUGAUUGCGUGGUGGGUGUUAACUUGUCAGAGAUACGGGUGUGGGCGGUGCAGGAAGACAUUGAUUUCUCUCAUCACCAAUAUGGCAACAGGUGUCAUGUGGGCAGAGCCCACCCUGUAGCCUCCCCACACUUUUAAGAGGAGUUUUCUGUGUCCGGGACAUGCUGACACAUGUUGACACAUGCUGACACAUGCUGACACAUGACACAGGGUGAGAGAGGCAAGGAGUAGAUGCCCUCUGUGGGAGGGCAGGGCAACCUCAGAGCCACGGGACCUCUGCAGAUGUGAAUUUGGGAAAGAUAAAAGUUUUAGAGAUGAAACCUCAGUCUCCCCGUGCUGGUCAAGUUCUGUUGUUACAGUUAGAGUGUGCAUUCGGUGUCCACAGCAAUUUAAGACGAGAAACCAUUUCUUUUUCCACUUGUGGCAGAAAGCAGCCUUUUACCACAGUCUAGGGACUCCAGAAGACCCUCAGUUGGCCACGCCAAAAGCUGAAUUUCAGAACAAGAGCUGUAGUCAUCUCUGAUAAGAAGACACGGGAAUAUAAGUGUUAAGGUCACUCUUACUUGCACUUGGUUAAAGAUGGGGACCCCCUGGGAAACCCAGUGAAGGAAAAAGCUCACACCCAGCAUUGCCACCUUCUAACAUAAAGUCGACUUAAGGGGCGGAAGAGUGGUUACUCUCUAUAGAGCACGAGCUGCUGCUCUUGCGAAGGACCCAGGUUCCGGUCUUAGAAUGCACAUUGUUUCACACAACCCUCUGUAGCUCCAGUUCAGGGGAUCCAGUGCCCUCUUCUGGCUUCACAUGCAUGUGCAUGCAUGUGCACACAUAUGCCCCCGCCCCCAGAAAAAACAGUCAUACAUAUAAAACCAUGAAGUCCGUUUAAGCUGUGAAUGGUAAUGAAGGCCUGAAUCUCAGCACUUGGGAGGCAGAGGCAAAAGGGCCAUCAAGAGGCCAACUUAAUUAUUAGAUAGUAUGGGGCGGCAAUUAGAUGCCAGGCACUUGGGGCAGCGUUGCCUGGGAUCCAGAGGGACAGGACUAGGUAAGUAGGCUCUCUUGAAGGGUACUGCAGUGGGCUGGAGACUGAGGCAGGGACCUAGGCAGAUAGGAGGAGUGGGUUUAGUGUUCAGUGAACUGGCUUUAGGGGGCACUGAGCAAAGAAGAGGGAGGGAAGCUGGGGAGGGGGACACAGGAUGGGAGUAGGUGCAGGUGGAGGUACCAUGUCAUUCUGGAACCCAAAAGGGUAGGGAAGGGCCUAAGUCAUUCCUGAAUUUCAAGCUGUUAGGACCACACUACCUAGGAAGGAGUGUACUGUGGCUCUACAAGUCUCCUCAGGAGCACCCAGUAGCCAGGUCUCACCAACUCCAACCUAGUGAAGUCACCAUCCCCAACCUUGACUUUCAUCUGCUGAGUCUGUUUCCUGUCUGUAUAAUGGGCUAAUAAAGACACUCCCUAAGGAAGGCUCACACACCUGC
rnacentral:lncRNA from 1 species